UACGGGGGGGGCAAGCGUUGUUCGGAAUUACUGGGCGUAAAGGGCUCGUAGGUGGUCAACUAAGUCGGACGUGAAAUCCCUCGGCUUAACCGGGGAACUGCGUCCGAUACUGGAUGACUUGAGUUCGGGAGAGGGAUGCGGAAUUCCAGGUGUAGCGGUGAAAUGCGUAGAUAUCUGGAGGAACACCGGUGGCGAAGGCGGCAUCCUGGACCAACACUGACGCUGAGGGAGCGAAAGCCAGGGGAGCAAACGGG
rnacentral:rRNA from 1 species